AGUCCCUAUUCCCGCCCUGAAGGUGGCCAAAAGGCUGACUCCCUCCAAGCAGCCCGCCCGCGCCUCCAUCGCCCCCACCCACGUCCCACUCGCCAGCUGCGGACUGAACCCUCACCCUCAAGGGGGUGUAGGUAGGGAAAGAGUUUUGAGCAAGAUUGGGGGUAUCCCUUCAUCCGAAGAUUGUUUGGGAAAGGUUAGGAGCUCUAAAAUGUAUUGAAGCCAACUCUUAAGCGCAAAGUAAAAGAUAAUUUGCGUCCGUCUGCGAGGUAGGACUGAAGAUUCUAUAGAGUGGGCUUCCGAGGAGCAGGAGACACAGGGCGAGCAUGAGAACAUAGGUCUGGAAUGAGGUUCCACCGAGCGUCCGUAGUCUCCUUAGGCGACAUCUAUCGCUUCCUUUAGCACUUCGCAGGAGUCAACGCGGGGUUGGUUGCCCCCAACAGUGGAGCGUUUCCAUAAAGCCGAGCAGAUGAGCCUUCCCAGCCGCCUGCACUGCACCCUUCCCCGCCCCCAACUCCGUACUGGCACCCUGUGUGCCUGAAGGGCUGACACACGUUCUCCCAAAACCUUCAGAAGCGCUUUGCCUUGAAAGAGCUCUCCCUCGUGUGUGUGUGUGUGUGUGUGUGUGUGUGUGUGUGUGUGUGUGUGUGUGUGUGUUUAAACCAUCUCCAGGAUCCCUUAUCAUUUGCUUCCUCUCUCCUUUUUCUCUCUGUUUCUCCCUGUCUUUUUUCUGACGCUUAAGUUUCAGGAUCUUUUAGUUUUUUUCCAUCACAUACAUGUGUAGGUUUUCUGGUACAAACGCCCUGAAACAUCACUUGGGAGGUUAAGACAGGCCCGCGAGUAAAAGCUGGGGACGGAGUGGGUGGGCAGCCAGGUGCAUUACCAGCGCCUUUAUGCCUCUGCCUACACUUCCCGGCCUCCCCCCAUCCCCCCACCCCCCCACCCCACGCCUCACCGUCGCUCCCCGGCCCCACAACAUGAACUUGGAAGCAGAAUUUCAGGCCAAGAUGGAACCUCCCCGUCUCAGGAAGGCGAUUUCUGUUUAAUCCUUGGGAGGCUGCGCUGGCUGGGCCAGGCAGCACGCUCCUUUUCCGAUUAGGGAAAGGACUAAGCUGGGCCGGCAGUCUGCGACCCCUUCCCGGAACCCCAGCCGACUUCGGGGUAUACCUGAGCGCCUUCCGAUGGCUGCUCGCGGGGGUGUGAUCAUCGUCCCCGCAUCAGGCCCGCCAGGCAUCUGCGCGACUCGGGGGUAGGAGGGAGAUGCGUGGGUGGGAGGUGGGGGUCAAACCAAACACCGACAGGGCACACCUACGUUUAUGAUCCUUAAAUGAACUGCGAGGGAAAUUGUGUAAGUAUAAUUUAACUGAGAGAAAUUUAUUGCGAAAUACGCUUAGAGGACUGUGGUCUUUAACAGCCUCAGGGGUUCUUCGGCAAAGAGGUAACGGGGCUUGGAUUUACCACAACUCUGCGGCCACGUUUUCAAAUUUGGAAAAGAUGAGAAAAGAAGGUUCAGGUAAGUCACCCUUUGCAAACAUAACCAAAAUCUUCAAAGCAGGAGGAAGACUAGACGACUGCAUGCUUUAACCAUGAUGUGCCAGAUUACCUUAAAAAUGUACUUUAAAUUACCUACACACAAAUUUUCCUUAAAGAAUGAGAUAGUUUGAGUUUGCGGACUUAAAAUCAACUCAGUAGUUUUGAAAAGUGCCCCUCCCCCCCCCCACAGUCUUUCCAUUUUAAACUGUGAACCUAAUAUAACUUCUAGGCCUUUAUACAAUUAAUUCUGAACAAUCAAGGGACUAAACACUUUUACAAUGUAAUUACAGUAGUACAAAUUGUUUGCCCAAACCUCAUUCUGGAUAAGGAUUUUACAAUUAGCAAACAGUUAUUACAGUUGGGGCUUGCUGAGAGAAAUUGCACAGAGGAUGUCUAGAGUUGCAAUAUAGUAGCCAUAAAAAAAAAAAAAACUCCUUUAGCAGGGCAGCAAUUAAUCAUCUAUUAAAAGGAAACAAAUGAAGGGACAGGUCUAGGUAUCUUAGUAAACUACUGUCAAUAUUUAUGCCCAUUUUUUGACAGCCCCUAUUCCUAACUUAUUUCAGAUACUUGCUUUUUUAAGGCAAUAGCACUUUUAUUUUGCAAAAACUUGGCCUGGUGAAAACUUCUGGCACUUGGCCCUAGCUCUUGCGAUUCAGGCCUUCCGUUCUCUUCUCAUCCUUCUUAUCUCAGAGCAUCUUUCCAGAGAUAGAGAACGGUGACAAAAGGAGGCAGACUGGGCCCUUGGUCUCUAUUGUUUACACCCUCCUGUAUGGAGGCAUUUCAAGCCCUCAGUGCUCCUCUGAGCUGCUGGUAAAGUCGUCUCGGAGAACUCCCCUGACUUUAUGUUCUAUAAGGAAUUGUGCUUCUGGAAAGAUCUAUAUCCUAAAUUAGGCUUUUGUCCCAAAAGGUCACACUGAUGAGUCAGCUCCAAAACCCUUAGAAACUAAAGAGGCACCUCUUAAGGUAAAACGUGUGUGUAUUUGCCAGCCCAGAAUAAACAAAAGCCUGUUAAUCAAUCGAGUUUGGCAGCUGUGUUCACAAAAUGAUAAGGGUUUAUCAUUUGCCACCAAACUUUAAGAUGUCCCUUAAAAUGCUGUGAUUGGUUUUUAGGUUGUCCUGUGGUGUGGAGGCUUGGCGUUUGUAUUUCAAAAACAUUCAUCCUCUGCAUCUCUCCCCCUCACUAGCAUUGACAUUUCAAAAAAACAGAAAUAAGAGGAGGGAGGGAAAGAUAGUUUAAAGAAAAUAGAUUCGAAAUCUAGUACAGAUAAUAGAGGAAUGCUGGAGAUAAGAGCCUGGAGGUGAUAUGAGAAAGGCACCAAGAAGUCAAAGCUAAUGAAUGGCUGUGAGAAAAGUGAAAUAAACUAUUGAGAGAUCUAUUAAAGGGGGAAACCUGGUUAGGUGAUAUCAAAGGGGGUUAACUGAGAGGAUUAGGGAGGAUGUUAAUCAAGUGCUCUAAAGCAUUACAGGCUAUAAGGACUGAAAGAUUUGUUUACUGCAUUUUGCUUCAGAAAACAAAGAAUGUCUGGGUCCAGUUCAGAAGUCAAUUAGAGGUCAGCUUAGGCUCUCCAAGGGUUGCAGGGAAAAUACCUAAGUUACUAUAUUCUG
rnacentral:lncRNA from 1 species